rnacentral:lncRNA from 1 species
CUGUCUCAAAAAAACCAAAACCAAAAAAUAAAAAGACAAAUAUCCUGAGGACACAUAGUAUAUUGGAGCUGAGAGGACGCCAAAGAUUAUAUAAGAUGUUUAUUGGUGAACAACUUGGAAUAUAAAGUGAAGACUCAAAGGAUUCAUUUGGCUCUGUUCAUUCUGUUUCCAGUGGAAAUAUGAAGUACGCAUAAAAUAUGGAGCCACUGAAAUCGUCUCUUCCAAUCAGCUCUGUUUCUUUUGUAAUCAUCCACAAAAUUUGGUUACAUUGAAAUUUUUCCUGGGGAAAAGGUUGGUUGCAGACCCAGGUACCACUCUAUGGUCCUCUUACUGACCUUUCCUGAUUUUUGCAAUAUUCAGUUUGGAAGAAAAGUCAAAGCAGUACUACUAUUGGGUUUGAACUGUAGUUAUAUUAGUAAAAAUGACUUGGAGCUCACCCUUCCAAGAAAGAUCAUCCUAACUGCCCAUCAUGGGUACAGCAGAGGCUCUGCCUGAAAAAGCAAAAUGUCUUACUUUAAAGAUCACAAGGCAAGAUUUUCUUCAAGAAGCAAACACUCUCAUUGCUCAACAUUAUGAGAAAAUAAAUGAGGUUACGGCUUUUCAUUUAUCUAAUAUUGUUAAUUGUUAUUAGUUAAUGAUAACUAUUUUUUGUGUACUACAAUGGUUGUUCCAAAGGAUUGCAUGAAUCCUAGCAUGAGAUAGGUUCUUAAUAGGGGAGCAAAUGAAAUACUUAGUAGCUGAAAAAAUUGAUUUUAAAUGACAUUUAAAAAUAAGAUUACUUAGUUCUACAAAUUAUUUAAUUCUUCAUAUAUAUUUAGUUGUACAUGCAAAACAAUUUUGACAAUUUCUUUUGAUGAAUUAUAACACACUAAUAAAUAACCUUUGAGUUCUAGUUGGAUGAGCUAAGGUGAAAAAUCUACUGUGCUACGCAUAUCUUUUGUGCCCUUAGUUUGAUGCCCUUACCUGUGUCUUCCCCCACGUGGGUUUGCAUUAGAACCGUCUGUCUGCCAGGCAGGUAGCUAUUCAAGGACAUAGACUGUCUUUUUUGUAUGUUGUAUCUCAAGGGACAAACACUCUGCCUCACUAAUUAAGUAUCUACUGGAUAGCGUAGGUUUGGAAGGUGAGCAAAGAGGGCAAAAGGGGAUGGGAUGGCAUAGAAGGAUCCACAGAGUAACUUGGGGAGGGGUCAGCUUUGUGACAAAUGGACCUUUGGG